rnacentral:rRNA from 1 species
GACGAACGCUGGCGGUGUGCUUAACACAUGCAAGUCGAACGGAAAGGCCCUGCCGUUGUGGCGUGAUCGAGUGGCGAACGGGUGAGUAACGCGUGAGUUGCCUGCCCUUGACUGUGGGAAAACUUCAGGAGAUGGGGGCUAAUAACGGAUGGGUGCUCCUGCUGCAGGGUGGGGGAUGGAAAGUUUCGGCGGUUGGGGAGGGAGCCGCGGCUCAGCAGCUUGUUGGUGGGGUGGUGGAUUACCACGGCUUCGACGGGUAGCCGGCCGGAGAGGGUGACCGGCCACAUGGGGACUGGGAUACGGCCCAGCCUCCUACGGGAGGCAGCGGGGGGGAUUUUUCCACAAUGGGCGGAGUCCGAAGGCGGCAACCCCGCGGGCGGGAUGACGGCCUUCGGGUGUUAACCCGUUUUCGCCGGGGACGAAGUUUUUGUGACGGUAAUGGGUAAAGAAGCACCGGCUAACUACGUG